rnacentral:rRNA from 1 species
ACUCGAGUGGCGAACGGGUGAGUAACACGUGGGUGAUCUGCCCUGCACUUCGGGAUAAGCUUGGGAAACUGGGUCUAAUACCGGAUAGGAGCCAUCUUUAGUGUGGUGGUUGGAAAGUUUUUCGGUGUAGGAUGAGCUCGCGGCCUAUCAGCUUGUUGGUGGGGUAAUGGCCCACCAAGGCGGCGACGGGUAGCCGGCCUGAGAGGGUGUACGGCCACAUUGGGACUGAGAUACGGCCCAG